GAAAUACUUAGGUAAAACCGGAGUGAUCCGGCGACACAAAGCUACAGGGACUUAAUGAGUCAGCCAGCUGCAACU
rnacentral:ncRNA from 1 species